AUUCCAUGAUGGGGACACUUCCUUAACAACUCCUUGAAGCACUCCCAUACAUCAUACAAAGCUCCCCCAUCAUUCUUGUGAAAAUUUUCAAUUUCACAUCUCGACU